UUUCCGUAGGUGAACCUGCGGAAGGAUCAUUAAAAAUGAAGCCGGGAAACCCCGGUCCUUCUCACCCUUGAUUAUCUCAAUUUGUUGCUUUGGUGGGCCGCGCAAGCACCGGCUUCGGCUGGAUCGUGCCCGCCAGAGGACCACAACUCUGUAUUAUAUGUCGUCUGAGUACUAUAAAAUAGUUAAAACUUUCAACAACGGAUCUCUUGGUUCUG
rnacentral:misc_RNA from 1 species